GCUGAGUUUACUCUGGGUAGGGAAGGCGGAGGUGUGGUCAGGGUCCUGGAUCUUUCUCCAGGAAAAUCUCAGAGGUGUGUGUAUUUUAAGUUUCAAGGUUAAUUAACUUACCAGUCUUGACAUGUUUCAUGUUCUAGAGAUUCUCCAUGGUCAGCAAUAAAUUGGUACAUGACAAACCAAACAAUUCUAUGUCAAAUAGGAAGUAGAUAAAUGCAUAUUUUACAUUUAUAUGAUGGAUAUGUGAAGAUGUGUAUCCCUCAUCUCAGAAUUGAGGGGUAAGGGUAUGUGUGUGAAACAAAGAGGAUAGUUUGUGUUAUUUCUUCUUGGAAUGAGUUAGCUACGAGUUAGCUAUAUUUGUAUUUCGAGAGUAAGCUACAAUAGAAAUAAAGCUGGAGACUUCACAUAUUUUUGUGCUUUAACAGACACUCUUUAGAUACUAUCUAUAAAUCCACUUUCUAGAGAUUCUUCUUGCUAAAAAAUCAAAUUGUAUUAACUUCAUUGCAGAAAAAAUUUAAAAAUAAUCUUUGACAUUCAGCUACUGUGGGCUCUCCCAAGAGAUCUUAAUGGAGAUAUUAAGGCAAAUAAUCCAUUGUGUUUCACUGUAAUGCUUUAAAAUAUCCCACAGCCCUUGCUUUAGGGAAGCAAAGUGUUUCUUACAGUGUGAUUUUAUAUGCUUUUUUACAUUCAUACUGAAUUUAUUUUCCUUUUUACAUCUUUAGUUUCAUUUUAGCCUUUUCUGCUUCUAUUAAAAGUUUAGUUUUGUGGCUAAUAUUUUUCUACUUUCUAAGUUUGUAUACUUCAUAUUUCUGAAAAAUAAAUGUAAUCAUUGUAUUUGUCAGUUUUAAAAUUGGAAUUCAUACACAGAAAUGG
rnacentral:lncRNA from 1 species